rnacentral:rRNA from 1 species
UUUAUGGAGAGUUUGAUCCUGGCUCAGGAUGAACGCUGGCGGCGUGCCUAAUACAUGCAAGUCGAGCGAACAGACGGGGGAGCUUGCUCCCCCGACGUUAGCGGCGGACGGGUGAGUAACACGUGGGUAACCUACCUAUAAGACUGGAAUAACUCCGGGAAACC